UUCACAUUUGCUUUUAUUUCGUUUCUUUGGGUUAUAGACGGUUUUGUUGAUCUUUAGUUACAUUAUUAUCAUCUUUAUCGUUUUAUACAUUUGGCUUUAGUAAUUUGUGAAUUGUUAUGCAUUUUUCACUGCUGAGUUUAGGAUUUUAGUCAAUUUGUAGGAUGCAAUCAAUGUGUGUAUGAAGAAAACUUCGAUGUCUAAGUGUUUUCAUGGCUGAAUUAAAUUUCACACACACACACGUAUUGGGUGGUUAAUGCUAGCUGACAUCCGGCUUGUUAGUCUUUCUGUCAUUCUCAUAAUUCCCAGUUACCAAGUGUUUAUUUCUGUAAAUUUCUGCAUUAUUAAUAUAGUCCUUAAUAGUUUAUACCGUUCCUUGUGGCUGCUGUAUCUUUCUCUUGUUCUUUAUUUUUGG
rnacentral:misc_RNA from 1 species